GCUCCCUUCGUCUAGUGGUCCAGGACGUCGCCCUCUCACGGCGAAAACAGGGGUUCGAGUCCCCUAGGGAGCGCCA
rnacentral:tRNA from 1 species